UGAGCAUUUUUUUAUUCUGAAAAAGUUUCUUCCAAAUAUUUGUUUUCUCUUUUACUAAAGUUUUUACUUAAGUAAUGUAAAACCCGUGCCUCUAUUUGCUAUUGUAGUUACGAAUUCUUUCUCUUUUGGGAAAAAGAAAACAUUGUGUAAGCUAGUCCUGCUCCCCUUGAAUGAUAAUACUUGACUAUAGUUAAUAUUUUACUCUUUUGUGGAUAAAACAUUUAAAAAUUCCUUUUAGUUUAUUAAGAAGAUUGUACACAUUUCAAUUUACUGUUCAUAUACAGGUAUCUACAUGCCCCAUUAAAAAUACAUGAGAUAGUCCAAGUUAACUUUUACCGAUAUGCUUACAUUUUUAAUUAUGAUCUAUUAACAACCACAUGAAAUAUUUUAAAGAAAAAUAUAAGAAAUUGCUGUUUACCCAACACCUAUCCACCUGAAAAAAUAAAACAUUACAAAUGUAGUAGAAGAAUGUCAUGUAGCCUUUUCAAGUCAUAUUAUUUUAAAUAUGGAAUUUGCCACUCAUGCAUUUUAAUAAAUAAUGUAUACUAUUGUUUUCUUGCAUACCUAUUGUAGUUUCCAUUGCUCUACAACCUUUCCAAUAUGUGGUAUUGUAAAGGCUACUUAAAUUUGACCAAUAAAACAUAUACGAUAUGGUCCAGUGUUGUUUAGUUUAUAAUUCAUUGAUUACUAGUGUGAUUCAGCAGUUUUUCGUUUCUUUUUUUUUUUUUCUUUUUUUUUGAGAUGGG
rnacentral:lncRNA from 10 species